UUUCCGUAGGUGAACCUGCGGAAGGAUCAUUAUCGUACAACCGAGGUGCGAGGGCUGUCGCUGACCUUUAAAGGUUGUGCACGCUCGAGCAACUCUCACACAUCCAUCUCACCUCUGUGCAUCACCGCGUGGGUCCCCCUUUGCAAGGGAGGGCUUGCGUUUUCACAUCAAACUUGAUACAGUGUAGAAUGUUUCAUUUGCGGUCACACGCAAUCAAUACAACUUUCAACAACGGAUCUCUUGGCUCUC
rnacentral:misc_RNA from 1 species